rnacentral:rRNA from 1 species
CGGCGGACGGGUGAGUAAUGUAUGGGGAUCUGCCUGAUGGCGGGGGAUAACUACUGGAAACGGUAGCUAAUACCGCAUAACGUCGCAAGACCAAAGAGGGGGACCUUAGGGCCUCUUGCCAUCGGAUGUGCCCAGAUGGGAUUAGCUUGUAGGUAAGGUAACGGCUUACCUAGGCGACGAUCCCUAGCUGGUCUGAGAGGAUGACCAGCCACACUGGAACUGAGGCACGGUCCAG